GAUGAAGAACGCAGCGAAAUGCGAUAAGUAAUGUGAAUUGCAGAAUUCAGUGAAUCAUCGAAUCUUUGAACGCACAUUGCGCCCAUUAGUAUUCUAGUGGGCAUGCCUGUUCGAGCGUCAUUAAGUCCACUUAAGCCCUGCUUAGUGUUGGGAGACUGCUCCAGCGGUGCUACCCUGUAGCUACCCUGCAGCUCCUCAAAGACAGCGGCGGAGUUGUGGUAUCCUCUGAGCUUAGUAACUUGUUCUAGCUUUCGAGUACACCACUUCCCCUGCCGUAAAACCCUUAAUUUUUAAUGGUUGACCUCGGAUCAGGUAGGAAUACCCGCUGAACUUAAGCAUAUCAAUAAGCGGUGGA
rnacentral:misc_RNA from 1 species